rnacentral:rRNA from 1 species
CCCUUAGAUGUUCUGGGCCGCACGCGUGCUACACUGAUGCAUUCAACGAGUCUAAAACCUGGUCUGAUAGGGCUGGGUAAUCUUUUGAAAGUGCAUCGUGAUUGGGAUAGAUGAUUGCAAUUCUUCAUCUUCAACGAGGAAUGCCUAGUAAACGCAAGUCAUCAGCUUGCAUUGAUUACGUCCCUGCCCUUUGUACACACCGCCCGUCGCUCCUACCGAUUGAAUGAUCCGAUGAAUACCAUGGAUUGAGAGUACGAAUAGGUUCGCUUAUUUCUGCUUCUCGAGAAGUGGAGCAAAUCUUAUCAUUUAGAGGAAGGAGAAGUCGUAACA